AAAAUUAGACAUUAAAUCAACAAAUAUUGAGUCCUCCCUCCUAUCCACAUUAAAAGCUCUACAAUUGUUCAAGUUUAACGAAUCGGACGUCUCCCGAUUAGAAAUUUUGAAUCCGCUGGCCAGAGACUUCUUGAAUUUAAAAAAAUAGUACAAUGAGAAACAAAAAAAAUUUAAAGUUAAUCAAAGCGCUGGAAAUCUAACUGAAGUGGUUGAGUCAAUUCAUCAGUAUCGUAUCCGCAAUCACAAAAUUCAAUUGGGUUCAGUUUGCUGUGCAGGCGGGUAAAUUUGCUGUAGUGGUGAUAGUUUGUCUAGGCAGCAUUUGAAAAUUUUCAUGUAGGCUGAGCAAUUGCAGCCCUCCGUAAAAGCAAAUGCAAGCAAUAGUGAUUCGGACUGGGAGAAGAUAAUUUUGAUGAUGACUAUGUCUAUUGUACAUUUGGGUCCAGACAUAUGCAGUUGCACCUCUAUUUUCCAAGGCAAAAGGUUAAAGAAACUAUCCAGGUUGGAUAACUAUUUAUUAACCCUUUCAAGGAGAAAUAGAAUAAGGGUUUCAUCCGAACACACUUGUCUUGAGGUGCAAGGUGUAAGCUAUCGUGUACCUGGUACCCAACAUAAUCUUUUAAAUCGAGUUUCUUUUUCUCUGCCAGAAAAGAGCUUAGGUUUGAUAUAUGGACGCAGUGGCAGUGGUAAGACAACAUUGUUGCAGGUUCUCAGUGGCUUAGCAAAACCGACAGCGGGGUCAAUCUGUUUAAAAAAGAAAAGGCUAGAUGGACAGUCAAACGAGUCUGAAGAAAUUUUAUCAGCUUCAAAAGUGGGCCUUGUUUUCCAGUUUCCAGAGAGGUACUUUUUGGCUGAUACUGUGGCUGGGGAACUGACUUUUGGAUUCAAAAAGCGAUUGGAAGAUCAAUUCUUCAUGCAGCAAUUUAGAAUGAGACUUGAGUCAGCUAUUUUAGCUGUUGGACUUAAUGGCAUUGCCUUGGAUCUUGAUCCCCGUUCUUUAAGUGAUGGCUUUAAGCGUCGUCUUGCACUAGCAGUUCAGCUUGUACGCAUGCCGGAUAUUUUAUUGUUAGAUGAGCCUCUUGCGGGUCUUGAUUGGAAAGCUCGGGCAGAUGUGGUUAAGUUAUUGGAGAAUCUAAAGAAAGAUAUAAUGUUGAUUGUCGUCAGCCAUGAUUUGAAGUGGCAAAAAAAUAAAGGUUUUCCAAACAGCAGAUUAAGGGUGGUGAUGUGGCUUUUUAGACAGCAAAAAAAUCAUAAUGUAGCAAACAUCAGGUUUCAAGCAAAGUCAAUUUCCAAAAGAUCCACUUGUGGGACCCAUGCAUGCUGUAAGGGUGAAAGAGGCAAACAUAUGUAAGGCAGCUGUGAGGGAUCAACACAUUUUUUUUGUUUUUCUUGGGCCACUCCACUGCGCAAGAUAGCUACCAGCAUUGCAGGGAAAUAUCAAGGCUUGUUGACAAGGCUUGGAGAAUGGAGAUGGGUGGGUUCUUGAUUGAAGAACCAUUAUCCAUAUCCAAUUAGUGCCAACUCUCAGAGAUUGUAUAAAUUGUGAGAUGGGAGAUACCUCUAUGCUUGGAAUUUAAUUAUUCUUUAAAAGAGUUUUGUGGAAGUCAUGCACUAUCAAUCUAACAUCUAUUUCCAUAAUUUUUCUUAUUUUGGUUAGUUUCAAGGUAGUGACAUGGAUAUUUGUUUCUACAAAGUUAUCUUGGAUUUUUUUAAUUAUCAUAUUUAUAAAAAGGAAUUGGUAUCUUACAAUUCAA